GAUUGUACGGAGAUGUGCACAAAGGCUGUGACAAGAUGGUCUUCAGUGAUGCGGUUGAGAUGUAAAGGUCACUGUCUGCAAAAUUUCUUGCUACUGUGGAGAAUCAUUCAAAUACCAACCUGCUUGGAGCAUCUCCUAACGCGCCUGGGUCCUAGAGUUGCCGCGGAUAGCUGCCGAAUCCGGACCGCAGUUUGGCUCUGCCAGAAGCCUGGGUGUUCCCAUUAACCAGAGCUCCUCCCUGAAACCCUGGGUUCGACCGCUGUCAGCCUCUGGUCUCCAUUCAAAUGCUGUCCCCUGACGGGCCACUUUUCGAGCUCAGUCCAUCGAGCCACUGCCAAACUGUCCUCCUUGUCCUCGGACAGACUUCAUGCAUCAUGGUGAUAAAUUGGGCAAUGCAUAGGGCCAGUUCCCUCCUACUGAGUUCUAUCAGAAAAGAAGAAGGGGUUAAUACAAAUGCCGUUGUCAUGAUUGUAAAUACAACUUGGAGAAGGAAGCAGAGAAGUCACUAGUUCCUUCUGAAUCCAGUCUGGUGAUGCAGAGAGAAAAGUGUGUGGCCAAGAAGAAAAACACCGUGUAUAUCAAAACAUAAAUGAAAAAAAAUCUCGAGAAUGGGAAAUGCUGAAGAUAAAGAGAAAGAACCCAAGAGAAUAAAAGCAAAGAUAAUAAACAGCCACAGCCAGACUCAGAUGUUCUCUGUCCCAUUAGAGAUGACUUUACCAACAUGUAUUACCUCACUGUAAAGCUCACAUUCCUGAAGCCCUGCAAGCUCUUCAGUCUUAGAAAAUCCAUCUCAUAAUGCCAAAACAGGCUGAUGGGAAACCUUUUCUGCUCUUUGUCCUUUGGAAUACAGAGAAAACCAAUGAGAGCCCCAAAAUGGCUUUUUUUUGCACCUGCCUGCUGACUCUCCAUCUCUUUCAGCUGGUGAGUAUGCUCAGUUGUGGAGUGCUUUUCAACUUUUCUUUUCCAUGAAGAGAUGGCACAUCUCUUUGGUCAGCAUCACUGAAGCAUUUUCUAUUCUUUGUCUUGAAUACCAUGAAAAAGACAGCUAUUAAAGAUGGUUACUGUGUUGUUGGAACUUAGUCUUUGUUAACUGAAACUUCUGCAAAAAUUUAGGAUGUGUUUCUUAAGAACUGAAGAGUAAGAGCAACCUAUAAAAGAAUUUGAAUCUGACUGCAAAGUGGUGAAAAUAGUGCAUGCUUUCUACUUUUUCUGAAGAUUUUGGAACAUGCAAUAAUUAUCAUGAUCUAUCUGUGGGGUAAACAGGUGUUGUAUGUGGACAGAGCAGCUGGAUUACAGAGGUUUCUCCUGCUAGUUCAGGCAUCUGAAAAGAAGUCAUCCUUGUUCAGUUUCACCACUAUAGGCCACUCUUUUAGUCAAACACUGCAAUUUCGAGGGAUGUUUCACCUCAGCUAUCUUAAAACUUAUCCCAGAUUAAAAGGAAGAAAUGUCUUCAGAAAUGGAGCUUAGGGACAAUUUGUCAAUGCAUGUUUGGGCUCUAAAGCCAGGUGACAUGAAGUGGCUUGAUGAUUGUGUCUGACAAGGCAGGAAAGCUAGCA